rnacentral:rRNA from 1 species
AUGAACGCUGGCGGCGUGCCUAAUACAUGCCAGUCGAGCGAACGGACGAGAAGCUUGCUUCUCUGAUGUUAGCGGCGGACGGGUGAGUAACCCGUGGAUAACCUACCUAUAAGACUGGGAUAACUUCGGGAAACCGGAGCUAAUACCGGAUAAUAUUUUGAACCGCAUGGUUCAAAAGUGAAAGACGGUCUUGCUGUCACUUAUAGAUGGAUCCGCGCUGCAUUAGCUAGUUGGUAAGGUAACGGCUUACCAAGGCAACGAUGCAUAGCCGACCUGAGAGGGUGAUCGGCCACACUGGAACUGAGACACGGUCCAGACUCCUACGGGAGGCAGCAGUAGGGAAUCUUCCGCAAUGGGCGAAAGCCUGACGGAGCAACGCCGCGUGAGUGAUGAAGGUCUUCGGAUCGUAAAACUCUGUUAUUAGGGAAGAACAUAUGUGUAAGUAACUGUGCACAUCUUGACGGUACCUAAUCAGAAAGCCACGGCUAACUACGUG